AUACUCUACUCAGAGUUCACACUCAUAUUUCAUAUUUUUAUUUUUGGGUGUUGGGUGCCAUGUUACUUUUGGUGCCUUAAUACACCUACUUGGAUUACUUACAAAUGUUUUAUCACUUCUUUACAAAAUCCCCACCUGGCUUGUGCUGCCACAUAAGCCUCUCCUGCCUAUCGUAUAGAGCUGCAGAAAGAGUAAAUGAUACACGGUAUUUUUAUACAGACUGCUGUGUUUGUUUAAACAUUUAUUAUUCUCUUCCUGAUUGAUGGUAAUAAUAUUAGACUUGUUAAUUUUAGCACCCAAAGCUGACGCCUCAUUUGCACUGUAAGCCUUAACUCUUCUGUACAGCAGUAUCUUACAUACAUGGUAUCCAUGUUGCAGAUUUCACUCAAAGUUGCUCUAUUUCAAGAAAAUGAAGUUAUUUAGCAAUCAACAGAAGUACUUUUGACUGUAAAGCCUACUUUUCAUUUUGGGUAGGCGAACUUCAGCCUUCGUUUCUUUGUUGUGCCCAUAAAGAGAAGUGGUUCUGGAAUGCUUUUUUUAACCCAGGAGUGUGACUGUCACCUUUAUCCUUUGUUCUUUUGGGAAACGGGAGAGAUGAAGGCAACACGCUGCUUCUAAAACAGCUCACACCUGGCUGCUCACACAGAGGGCCCAGAAACACUGGGUGGCACGAGGAAGCUCCUCCAGGAUUCAGAAUGAACCCAGUUCCAUUGGUGGUUAACUAAGAACUACUUGUCUAAGAAAGUAAGUAUCAGUAGAUUUUUUUCAAUGCUUUGAAGUGCCCUAAUCUCUAGUACUGGGUCAUGGUGAAGUUGGAAAGUGAGGGUUCAAAUAAAAUUAGAUCUGCCCCCUUUUUAAAGGCAUCUAAGAACAUCCCGUAGAAUGUUCGCAUUGAGUUUAAAAGCCUUUGAAGCUAAUAUAGAAGUUUAAUGCAGAAAUGUGGCAAGCAAAAGGCCAACUUGCAUUUUAGAGACAGAGCUUGCUAGUAUAGAAGUGCAUAUUUCUAAGAAAUGUCUCAGUAAAAUUCAUUAAUAAAUACUAAUAGCUUUUUAAAUUUUUUUCCUCCACGUAAAAUGAAAAUGAACUUAAGACUUACAAGGAAUGAUGUGAGUGGGCUAUUUUUUUCCUAAAUGCCUCACAGUCUCCAACAGCUCAGUUAAGCACUCUGAUGGUCUUUAUGGAGAAAAAUAACUCUGGGGGAUUCUCGAGUCUUCUUGCCUUCUACAGCUUUCCCUGUGGCACCCUCCACCCCCAACCAGUGUCUUUGAGCUUGGUGAGACUCUGCAUACAUUAAUAUGAAAAGCUGGAAAAGAAUUAAGGGCUAGCGAUUUCUACACUGAGUACUUUUAAAAAAAUAAGAUUGACAAUGGUAUUCUUUUCAAUAUAUGGAUAGAAAUAAUAUCUAAAAUCUGUUCUGAAAAUAUUCCUAAAUCCUGGCAGAGUUCUGCCCCAGUCUAAUGUGAUAAAAUGAUCCUCACUGACUGAGCUUUUUUCCCUCCCCACUCCCAAACCUUUGAAAUUUCCUGUAACAAGAUCUGACCUGUAAAGAUCCCAUAUACAUGGAACUUCUGCCAACUCCCCUCAAAUAAUAGAAAAAUCACAGAAAUGGAACCAUUUAACUUGCUGAUACAGGUUUGAUUUUAAUCACGUAAAGUGGAAGAGUGCUUUGAUCUCAGUUGCUAAUGAUGAUGGACUAAUCUUUAGAAGAACGGAGGCCUUGAUUGGUGAUUUCAUGGGAACAAAACAGAUUUCUGCAUUACCUCUGCCUGCUUUGUGGGUCCCUUAGUUGGCGUACACUUUCUGAUAGUGCCUGCCUUAUGAAUGCCUGAAGUCUAAUCCUGACCUUACUUUGUUGCCCAUAAAUAUCUUUCAAAUUGAAUGCAUCUUGCCUCUUCCUGAAACUUUCUGUAGGCGUCUGUGUAGACUCUGAUUUGCCCUAAGUUCAAAUACACAGAAAUCAGCUGCCUUGGGCUUGGCAUCAAGUUAAUUUCAGCACCAUGUAUUUGUUUUGCUUUGGUUUUUUGCCUUAAUUUCUGUGCUCAGAUGUCAUGCCAAUUACUUGGUAAAGCUUGCAGCUAAUAGAGCCACAUGUUUAUUACGAUAAAGAAAAUGAUGUCAGUCAACAUCAGUCCUCAGUGAUGGGAUACGGUAGAGCACUGGUUAUGACAGUGAUCACUGGGGAAGGAGUUGUGUCUUCUGUAAGUUAGUGUCUUCGGGUGAUUUAAUAUCUGCAUAACUAAUCCCAGAGGACCCCUUAGGAGUUGAUGUAAUGCCUGUAGAAAAAGCAGUGCGCAGCAGUAGCGCACAGAAGAGUCGAAGCUCAAGAGAACAGGGAACAUACUGGUUUGUUUCACCAAGUAUAUAUCCUAGCUCUUCACAGUUUUACCAAAAAAAAUCUGUGCUCAAUACAUGUUAGCUACUGUAUUAUAGUAGGUACUCCAUAAAUACUUGUUGAAUGGCAUUCUUGAAGAGUCAGCCAAAGUAGGAGAGAGGGCAGAGUGGCUUUAACUGGCUAUAAGUGUUGCUGCCCCCAGUUUCCCCAUUCAGUGCUAGACACCACCAUACUUCAUGGCAAGGACUGAGAACACCCAGCAGGACCUAAUGGUGCACAAGCUCAUUUUAACAAUAUAAACAAUAGAAUGACAGUGAGAUGCGUUUCAGCAAGGCCAGUAUCACAGAAGCCAUUCUGUAUUUUGGUUUUUGUAGCAGCUGUGUAGGUAGGCUACCAGCUCCUUACUUCCAGUAAGUGGAUGUCUCCAUUAAUUUCCAGCGUGUCAAUACUGCUGAGCUCUUUAAAUCUGUGUUUGUACUCCAGGCUGUGUACGCCAUUUACUGCAACCUUGAAUUCUCUAACAUCACAAUAAAUUAUCAUCUGAAAGGAAAGGAUACAUGCCAUUAGUGGUUCCCCUUAGUUUAAAAUUUUGUGUUUGUUACAUGCUAACGGUGUCAGAGUAAACCAUUUGAUUAUACAUAGAAAAGUUCCAGCCUGCUGCUGCUGACUUCCUUCUGACUUCCAAGACCCUAAUCUAACUAAAGUGUCCCUGGUGGUGGCACUGUCUGCCUCAUCCCACCCAGGGAAGUGACUCGGACAUGUUUGGAGCCUCACACCAUCCCCAGGGCCUGCGGCCCUCCUUUCCUCAACACAGCCCCUCUCCCUCGGCCGCAUCCUGCCCCUUGCUCCUGGAAAGCCAGAGUGCUGCCCCUCCUCGCCGAUGCUGGGGACUCUCCUAAAGCAGGAAAACUCACUCCUAAUAUGGUUGCUUUAGUUCACCGAGAUGCUGUUUCCAGCUGUAGCCUGGAACCAAGGGACUUGGAUCCUGACUGACUUUUCUGCCUCAAACUCUAGGACCAUGAACAAACCAGACAAUUAAUAUGAAAUUUCAGCAGCUUAAGGCACUUGCUAGGGUUUUUACAGCUGCUUGGUGAUCCUGAUCCUGAUAAGCUCAGCACAUCUUGGCCUCAGUGUGUUUGUCCAAAGCCGUCAAAGCUGGGUAUCCCGUAAGUUGGAAGUGGUGCACAUACUACAAAUUCAGAUCCAUCGGCAGUGUUCGCCCUUCACAGUCAUCUAUGCCCAAAACUCAAACAAUGAAAAACCAAAAAACCUACUAGCCUUUUACAUCACCUUUACACCUACACUUCAUACUUCUGGUGCCACGCUGCCAGUGCCAGGCUGGGUUUCCACCCACUCUGAGAAGGCCACUGGGAGGCCCUGCACUGAGCUCUCCCUGUGCUCCUCGCCCCCAUGAAGGCUUCAGAAGAAAGAGGGGCAGCUCAGCCUUGCUGCUAACCCGGCCCCACCCCGAGAGGCCAGAAUGAAGCACAAAACCUGAAUCUGCAAAGCAGCAAGUUGAGGGUUUCCAUUCUUUUGAUAGGAGCAGUGGAAAGGACUGUCAAGGAAAAUCAGGAAGGGGAGGAAAUUUCAGCCCAAGUCCUGCACUCUGAUAACAGCUGGCCAAGAUGAAGCUUCUGUGGCUACAGAGGAUUGGGGAAAUAGGUGUAACCUGAGAUUCUAUCCCCACAAGAAUGGUGGGAAUCCCAGUUCCAACCAGGUAGAAGGGACCCCAGAUAUAUUUAACAAAAUCUCAAGAAAACACAAAACACACAGCCUGAUGCUAUAGCUCAGAAGGAAAACCAAGUUGGCAGCAGAGGGAGUCAAUUAGUUACCUGUACUGUAUCAGAGCAAGUGCAAAGCCAGUGAAUUACAAGCAAGUGGCAAAGAAAUGACAUGCUUCCGGGUGAGCAGACUACUGCAAAUGAAAAGAAGGCACAUCCUUUGCCUAGAAGAAAACAGAACAACAGAAUCCCUCACAACCAUCUGAUGCUGCCGAACAGCUGGAACACGGAUUUCAUCCAGAGGAAGAGCCCACAGAUGAAAUUACAACACUGAAUGAGAUUGUUUUUAAAAAACUGUAGAUACAACUAAAGUGUAUUUGAAAGAGCAAGAAGAUUUAAAAUGAAAGUAAUGGCAUAAUGGAAAGACCUGAGAUAAUCUCAAUGCAAGCAUAUUUAAAAGGCAAGAGAUGGAAGCCCCCGGAAAGGACCUAUCAGUAUAGAAAAUCGUCAGCAGUGAUCAACACAAGGAUAAUUACUGCUCCUGAAUUAGAAAAUUAAAUGGAAAAGACGAUUGUUCAAAAGCAUAUAACAUUCAUCUAUUCAUUCCUUCAGCCAGCCAUCCCUUUCACUGUCUCUGCAAAAAAAUGCCUGGAAUGUGGUUCACCUAAUCCUAAUGGUAUGGUUUGAAUUAUGAAGUUGGAGGUAUUUUCAUCUUAGUAUUUUUCAGCAUUAUUUGAAUGUAUCAUUAUUAUCCUUUUUUAUAUUAAUAUAGCAGAUCCAAACUUGGGGCCCAGAUAGGUCAAAAACAAGUUACAUCAUUGGUUUCCUGUCACCCACCACAAGGCUCAACUUCCUUCUAGAGCACUCACCUCUGUUUCCCUCCAGUGAACCCCAAGUCACCCUUUGCGCCUUGACUCUUGCCAAGCUAACAACCCUGUGCUGCCCUUCCCACCUCUAAGGACUUGUUCAAAUCAUGCCCUAAAUCUAGAAAAGCCAACCUUCAGCCUUCCACAUCCUUCCCAGCUUUCUGAAUUCCAAACCAAUAUCCACAACUUCAGGGAACCUUCCAUGAUUAGCCCACAUCUGUCUACACUCCACAUACCAGGGCACUGCAUUAGACUGGAACUUAGGGAUAAAUAUGAAUGUCACAUUGCUAUCUAUUCCGCCUGAUAUUCAUGCUUUUAGUAACGAGUUUUGAUGAGUCCUCAAGAACCCACAUGGUCCAGACAAUGUGUCAGUUUAAAAUGCUGUAGAAUGAUAACCUAAACCAAUGACCCUAAGUGACUGUGUGAGGCAGUGGCACCUGAGCUGGUGAUUGAGGCUGGCCAAACACCCGGCAUCCGCAUCACAAGGAGACUAUUCUCUGCUCAGCAUCCCAGAAACAUAUUUCGGGAAAGGUAUGUGUUACAAUAUUCACCUAUCUGGGGACUCAGGACUGCAUGCCUUUUAGUUCCAAGGGACUGAUGUAUUUUUCCUUGAAUACAUACAAACAAGACUAACUCCUUAGGAGAAAGGACUGCCACCUGAAACCGUCUACCCUGAUGGGAGAUGAUGGCCAGUGCAAGCAAGCAGUUUUAGGGUCUCCACGUCCUCAAGUCUGCUUAUAUGAUUAAAUGUGUGACUCCAGUCCUGAGACAAGCUUCCUGGUUAAAUUCCUAUCAAUAUGGGGCUACACAGGAAUUUUAAUAUGAUGACAAAUGUCAAUUCCAAUGUGCAUAAUUUGACACUCUACUGGCUUUGCCAUUUAUACUGAUUGCCCACGUUAUAAAAAGGGGCAAAUUACAAUCUCCAAGUAAACAAAAAACAUACACAACUUCCACAUACUGAGUUAGGACUUGAUUUAAAUGGACCACUUAUCCCACCCCUGCUCCCAGGAUUCUUAUUGCUGUCCCAUUUUCAAAAACUGUAACCUCACCUCAAAGUACAUCCCAGGACUAAAUGGGAAAGAGGUAAUAUUUCUCUCUUCUUCUCCCCAGGACUCCUGAAGAAAAGAAUUUCUUACAAAUGCUUUAAUAUUCAGGCGUGGGUUCAAGUGUAGAGCAAUAUCCUUUGAUUUUCCUGCUAGUAGGUCAACAUUAAAGCUUUUGAGAAAGAAAGAAAAAAAAAAACCUUAAUUAACCAAGUAGGACAGAGUAGUGGCAAUUUCAGCAAUGUUAGUGACCAGACUUGAACUAUGAUUCUAACUCUAUGAAACACACGUAUCCACAUGGACAUGGGAAUGCAGGUGAAGUUGAAAUUUUAAACCCAGUCAGCAUUCCACUAAUUCGUUACUUGCAAAAUAAAAAUACGAAAAAAAAAACCCUUUAAAAUCAGCGUUGAGGCUGAGAUGUGGUUGGACAGAAAUGGAAGGUUUAACGCUAAACUGAAUGACUACUUCAGGCUGCAGGAGCCUGGGAUCCUCUCAAGCAGGUAUUCUCUUUUCAUCAUCUACCCGUGUUCCUUCCUUCUUGAAAGUAUGCCACUUUCUAGGAAAUAGCUCUAAUUUCAAGCUUUCAGAAGGCUGGACGUCUGUGGAAAAAGUUGUUAAAGCAGAAAUUUUCUAAAUCACAUGACAAGAGGGGCCCUAAAAAAUGUUGCCUGGGCUGGGCGUGGUGACUCACACCUGUAAUCCCAGCACUGGGAGGGCGAAGUGGGCGGAUCACUUGAGGUCAGGAGUUCCAGACCAGCCUGGCCAACAUGGUGAACCCCUGUCUCUACUAAAAAUACAAAAAUUCAAAAAGUAGCUGGGCGUGGUGGUGCGCCUGUAAUCCCAGCUACUCCAGAGGCUGAGGUAGGAGAAUGGCUUGAACACCCAGGAAGCGGAGGUUGUGGUGUGCUGGGAUUGUGACACUGCACUCCAGCCUGGGUGACACAGUGAGGCUCCAUCUCAAAAAAAAAAAAGAAAAGAUGUUGCCUGAUCUUACGGGGCUGCUCUGGAGUUCUACAAGGCAAGGAUAGGCCUCGUGGACAAAAAUGCUACUCUCUUGUCUGGCCAGAAAAAGCCGAGGUCAGAACACGGCCUUAGUCGGCUCUGCUGCCCACUGGCUGUUCACAAUCUAACCACCUCCUGCUUGAAUCAUCUCACUUUGGAAAUGAAGAUUCUGACGCUAGCCCUUCUUCCAGCUCACAGGACCGUUCACGGGUGGAAGGCGGUAACAGGCACGGAAGUAUCUGCACUGUGACUGGUACCGAAGGAUACUGACCUUUUGGCAUUUGCAUUCACUUCUCCUUUAACGACGACAGUUCGUCCAGGGCCCAUGGGGGUGUUCAACCUUGCAGCGAAUGGCAGCCUCUGAAAAGAAGCCACAGUCAGGACCAAGAGGCCUGCAGAAAGCGAUCUCCAGGGAAAACUCGUGUCCAAAGAACACUACGGAAUGUUUCAGAGCCAUGACCCUGUAAAUCCCAGGAGGGGAGAGACAGUCUGCCUUGGUCCCAGCUGGGUCCCCUGCAGCAGCACUGUCCCUGGCUCGAAGCAAACACACAUGAUUACAUUUUAGACGAUGAAAUGAGUGACAGGGUGGGACCCGAUGCCCUCUGUAUGAGUGAAACACGCCAGGAAGGCCCCCUGUGCCUGGGGUCUGAGGCAGUACUGUGUUCUGCCUGAAGGGGAAGCAGCCAAGCAGGGAGGUGCUGAGGAAAUACACAGGAAUGGCUCAGAGGCAGGCCUGGUUGACUCUCGAAUCCGUCCAGGGACGGCACACAAAUGCAGAGGGGGCUGCUUUGGGCCUCUAUUGUGGAUACAGGUUACUCGUAACAGCUCAUUACAACUUAAUUUUUAUAUAGAGUUAAGAAAAUUUGGUGCUCUUCAAACCUUUGACACAUAGUUCAUAGGUGGUAUUUUGGUGCAAGUCAAAGUGUGAUUGACAGUCGAAUCUUUGCUCUUGGUGUAGACAGUUCUGGGUGCGAUUUUAGAAAUGUCUCCUCCUCUAUUACUAGGCUGUAGGGAAACAGUUCUACAGUAAGGAAUGGAAUGAAUGAAGCUGCCCUCCACGGUUUAAACUGUUCAUUUUCUAUGCAACUUUAUAAAAUAUUCCACAUGAAAUAACCCAGGCAAAAAUACUCACAAGCUGGGGCGUGCCAGACUUUGGAACCUAUUGGAAAAGAAACAAAACACAACAAUGUUAGAAGGGGAAGAAUUAUAGUUUAUAAUCUGAAGUCUUGGUUGUGCUGAGCUGAGCCUGGCCGGAGCCUGGGAUGUUCCUGCUCCACUCUGGUGUGACCUCCAGGCAGCUGGUGCUUUAUGACGGAAUGGUAUGGUGUUGUGAAGGGCUACACGGGUUGAGAAGAGAGUCUGAUAUCCCUGUUCAUCUGAGUCCUUUAUCCUCCACCAUAAAUUAAUAAUUUUUCAUAGAACUAUAUGAAAUUUUUUUAAGAGACAGGGUCUUACUCUGUCAUCCACACUGGGAUGCAGUGGCUCAAUCAUGGCUCACUGCAGCCUCAACCUCCUGGGCUCAAGUCAUCCGCCUACUUCAGCCACCCAAAGCUGGGAUCACAGCCAUGCGCCACCAUGCCCAGAUAAUUUUUUAAUUUUUUGUAGAGAUGGGGUUCUCCCUAUGUGGCCCAGGCUGAUCUCAAACUCCUAGGCUCAAGCAAUCCCCCCACCUCAGCCAAAGCGCUGGGACUACAGGCCUGAGCCACCACCUUCACCCAGCACUACAUGAACUUCAAACGUGUCUUAGUUGUCCUUUCCAGGGUGCCCCCAGAAUGCUAAGAUUCUGUUCUGUCUGUGAGGUGUGAACGUGCCAGUCGGUAAGACCUCACUUUCUCCAUUAAUAACAGCGCAUUUUUAAAUUGCAGUUAUUCUCCCAGGGGUUGAAGAUACACAUGGAAGUUCAUUUGCCAGUGCACUGGCUGAUGUUCAAUAUUUGGAAAUACCCCAGAACAGUACUAUUCAGCAGUUAAGAGUGAGAGAGUGCUUUUUACAUAAGAACAGUGAGUGGCAGUUACAGAAACUGACAGGUGAAUCAUCAGCAAAAACUUACUGCGUGCCUGGCACCACAAGUAUGUAUCUCAAUUUUCAAGUGAUUACUUGCGUUCUAAAAGCAUAAUUUUCAAAAACCCAGCCUUCUUGCCAUUUCAUUAACAUGGCAGCUAAAACAACAUUUUUAAACCAGUGGCUCAUUAAAAGAUUUAAUAUUUACAUUUUCUCUACUUAUCUCUGUCAGUUCCAGACUAGAUGCUUGGGUACUUUGUAAGUCCUGAGAAAAGAUAAUAAAGAUUAAUUUGUAACAUCCAGUAGAAAAUAUUUUCUAAAUAUUUUAUAUUGACAUAUAAAAAAAUUAUAAAUGGUACUAAAAAUAUGCUUGAAAACUAUGAUCCAAAAAUACACUUGACACUGUGGUCCUUUCCGCCCCCCAUCAGAUUGGCAAACAUUACAGAGAAUAAGAUGUAAUGUCAGCAAGAAGGUGGGAGCAUGGCUGUUGAGAGUGCAAACUGUUUUUACCCUUGUGAAGGGCGAGUUAGUAUCUAUCAAAAUUUUCAAUGCAAAGACAGUCAUGUGUUGCUUAACGAAGGGGGUAUGUUCUGAGAAAUGUGUCCUUACAUGACUUUUGUCAUCGUGCAAACAUCACAGAAUAUUACUUAACAACCUUAGAUGGUACUGCCAACUACACACCUAGGCUGUAGGGUGUGGCCUAUAGCUCCUGGCCAGUGAAUCUGUACAGCAGGCACUGUACCAAAUACUGUAGGCAACCAGAGCAGGAUGGUAAGUAUUUGUGCAUAUAAACUUACCUAAACAUAGAAAAGGUAUGGUAAAAAUACAGUAUAUGACAAUCUUAUGGGACCACGGUUGUAUAUGUGGUUCAUCUUUGACUGAACUGUCCUUAUGCAACACAUGACUGUGCUCUUUGACUCAGGCACUCCCAGCCUAGGAACCUGUCUUACAGAAAUACUCCAUUUUAUGCCCAUGCAAAGGAAAUAGCUGCUACCCAGCUAAAAACUGUGUGUGUUUUAUUAAAACCACACUAGGUUUGAGAUCCUACAGACAAUGAAGCCCUGGCUGAUAAACAGCCUUCUGCUAGUGUGAACAGUUCACUUCCAAAAAAUUAAUACUACAGUCAGGGAGAUACGUCCUUUUUAUGUCAAUAGAAGUGUUAUUUGAAGAUUUUUUCUACCAUCUCAUCAGAAACCAUCCUCAUAAAAGACCCCAAGCUGUGGAAGGUCACUCACCGAGCUGAAGCUAAAACCAAUUGAGUGAAUAUUCACUUUGCCAUAAAUGCCCAGAGUGUCUAUUUUCUCUGGGCCGAUCCUGUGGCCAUAGAGCAGAGUAUGUUUUCCAUUUACAGCCACCUAGAGAGAUACAGAAGACAGAGCCCCCCCCGCCACCAAAAAAAAACAGUUAAUAAAUUAACUUAUUAUCCAAAUUUAAAUGUUUCCUUGCGUCCAGUUUUAUACCUGUUCCCACAGGUCUCCACACACAUGACCAAAUGGUAACCGAAAGCACCCAAAACACUAGCAGUGCUUCCAAACUUCUUUUGAGUUCCUGAUUUGAUUAAGCACCAGGAACUGUCUCUCCCCAGACAAACAGGCAGUCAUAAGUAUAUGUGCGUGUGCUUGUGUGCGCCUCUGCAUACAUGUGAGACAUCUGGGUUCGAAGGUCGCCUGGAAGCCCAGGCACAGGUGCCCUGGAGAUUGUGAACCCAGGUUAAAGAUCUGCCUGCGAGCUCCCCACAACACUGUCCCUGGAGACCACCCAUGUGGCAGACACUCAAAAUCUGUUGUAUUUGCUAAAUAAAUUAAUAUGGACAAGUUACCCAACAUAUUUGAAUUCGGUUUUCUUAUUCUGAAGUAGGAACAGUCUCUACCUCAACAGACUACAGUAAGAUGACGAGAAAGUAGCUUCUGCAGGUCCUCGGCACGCUACGAGGCUCCUCCUCCCUCCCUCUCAAAUGCCAGGUACCACGUUAGGUUAUAGGCAGAAAACGCGAGCAGCAUACAAUAUAGUCUCUGACUCAGGGAGCUUAAAAUCCCAUUGUGGAGGCAAAAUAAACACGUAAAGCCAAAGCACAACUGUUAAAAACUGUGAAAAAGAAUGAUACAGACACGGGCUCAAAAGGCCAGAGAAGGGAGAGGUGAAUGGAGUUUGGGAGAUUCAGAAAGACUUUCGGGCAGGAGCAGUAUCCCGAAGAUCAGAAAGGAUCUGCGCCAGAGGCAUUCGAGUCUUCUCUCGCGUUGGUACAUACCUCUACUGUGGGCAAGCUCCACAGGCCAGAGGGCCAGCAGGUGUAAGCUUCUGGGACCAAAUUCAACCGUACACAUACACGCUAGGUACAAGACACUCCAUGAAGCCAGAGAUGGAACUGACAUCAAGGAUUUCUAGGAUCUCCUCUGGGUCUAAAAUCUCAUGAUCCUACGGAACUGUCUUGUGGCAAGACUUGAAUUUACAAAACCCUUCUGAUUUCUUCGCUGGGAUUGCCCUUGUUAGCUCUUCGGGUGGUGGCGGUUAUAUUAUAACUUACCCUCCCAUCAUGAACAUAAUACUGUGUCAAUUCGGAACUCAGCCCUGCUAGGAGAAAUAGGAUCUAAUAAAAAGAUCUGGUCACAGUGGACCAUAUUUCUGCAUGGCAACAACUGGCUGGAGAGUAGUGGUGCCAUACCUCACAUUUAGGUGCCUUCCUGGUCCUUUUAUGGAGAAAAACUACAAAGCCAAACAAACUAUAUCUCAGGUGUAGGAAAUAUAAGGCUGGGCUCACAAAUGUGAAAAGCACCCCUGUGCACUCCUGCUCACUAAUGAGGACUCAACCUGUCCCUCUCCAAAACCUACCUGGAAUUUGUCCUUCAGCACCAUAAUCACGAUCUCAAAAGACUUUUCUCUUUUGAAAGGCGUGUCAUAGGUGAUCUCUUCCCGUCCCCAUUUUUCAUUUAUCAAAGUAUUGCAAACAAUGCAGCCGGCCCUUUUGAAACGAGGAUUGAAAUG
rnacentral:lncRNA from 1 species